UAUUCCAUAUAAAGAGAAACCGAGUAGGGAAAAAACCCUACAAAACCGUGGUUUAUUUUUUAUUUGGCCGUUUAAUACCUGUAGUUUUAAAAUUGGAAUAAAAAUACCAAAAUUAUUUUUUGUUGCCUUUUAAAUUCAUGGUCUUUU
rnacentral:sRNA from 1 species